CAUCCACAUAGGGGGUUGGGAUUUUAACAUGUGAAUUUUGUGGUUCCGUCUGUAUUCGAUCUAUAGCACUAAUUCCAUUUGCAACCAUUGACUGGAACUUCAUUUCAAGGGCUUACCCAGCUGCAAGGAAGACCGAAAACACAGUCGCCACGAUAGGGCUGCAAGCCCAAGGCUAUGUGGUUCUUGAGAUCACAAUCUUUCUGUCAACCCCCACUUUGCCUCCUGAGUACCUUAGCAGCUGAGGGUUCCAAAGACAGCUUUACUGUUAUAUCCUGUGGCAGCCCGUGUGCCUCUUUAACUCAGCCUCUGUCAUAUAUACUACAGGUGAUGUCUUAGUUAUUUCCUCAGCUUCUUGCUUCCUCAGCAUUUUGAAUACUUCUCUAUUUUUUUUUUAAAGUAAGCUCUACGCCCAAUGUGGGGCUUCAACUUACAACCCCAAGAUCGAGUCACAUGCUCUAGCAACUAAGCCAGCCAGGCACCCCUUGAAUACUUUUAUAACCUCACCCCAAAUGUUAUAAUGACUUGUUUUUGGUUUUCUUGAAUCAAACACUGGCUAAUUGGUAAUGUUUAUUACAUGAAUAACUCACUUAACAAACAACAUAGUUUUAUGUGUCUUUAGCACAUUGUCUGGCCUUUUACAGAUAUCCAAAAAAACCCAUGUUUAUUGAAUGGAUGGAUGGAUGGAUGGAUGGAUGGAUGGAUGGAUGGAUGGAAAAUCAACGCUUUCCUAAUUCAACACUUUUUUCUGAUUUUAGAUAAGCAGUCUACAUUCUCAGCUAAUCCCUUUGCUUUCAGGGUUGGAAGAAGAGAGAGAAAAGAGAACAACAACAACAACAACAACAAACAGGAAAAGGGAAAAGGAUAUGAGGUGUAUUUAUGCAAGUUCUCUGGUCUCCUACUUCCUUCUCUCACUUUAGUAUUGAUGCCACAAUUGUGAAUUUUGCUUUUCAAAUGGACCUUGGUAAUACCUUCUGGGAAAGGCUUGAGUAUGCCACGUUCAAGACCAAUGACCAAUGUAUUAAUGCUUCAGGAUUUAGGAAUAUUCAGGGAAGUUGCAACUAACUUUGUUCAGUGAGAGCAUAUACACUUUCUCUUUGUAACAUCUUCAUUGAAAACCCACAUAAAUUUUUAUAUUGCAAAGCCCUAAAGAUGAAAUAAUUUUUUUAAAAUUUCCUAUGAGGUAGUACUGGUAAAUUUACAGUUAUUUCAACCCCAUGAAGAAGUAGACAUCAUCACAUUCCUCAUGAAAAGCUCCAGCAAGAGCCAUUGGCAUGGUUUGAAUAUAAACAUCUAGCAGCUAAAUGACUUUAUCAAGCUACAAUCCCUGUGCUCAGCGAUUUAGAGGAAAUCAGCAGCUUACCCAAAGUUUUUUUUUUCUUUUUGCUGAGCAAUUGGGGGCCAAAAAUAAAACACUGUUACAUCAAACUGCAGACAAACAAAAAUCUGAAUACAUUCGCUAUCUUCUCAGGGCAUUUCUGUACCUAAUGAGCACAGCUGAGCCCAAAGGCGUCAAGAUGUUUCUUGCCAUUAGGCAAUGGGGUGGAGGAUUAUCCAAUAAUUCCUGGCGGGCAUUGUCGGUUCUUCUGGGUAAAGUAGGAAGAAGGUCAAAAGAGGAUGCAAAUGUUUUUUAAUCAAUGGAAGAGAGAAGUGAUACAUUCCUCUGACCUUUUCGAUUGCUGGGAAGAUAUAUUAUCUGCAUUAAUUAGCAUGUUGAAGAAUUCCUUCUGGAUUGCCAAGUGCCUUCCUAGCUCACAUUCACGGUCCUAGAAUGCCAGAACUUGGAAGACUCCACGUUAAGCCUUCUUUGUAAUUACUGCUGAGGAGACUGAGACCCAAGGAGCCAAGUCAUGUUUGGGGUCCGAGACUGGGAGAACCAUGACCUCAGUGAAACCAUUUUGCAAAGCCACUGGUGAGCCUCUCCAUGUGAGCAGAGUGAAUUCUUAGCUACCCUUCUGUUUGUAUUUCUUUGUUUGAAUUUGCCAUCAUAUGAACAAUUAGUUAUCAGUCAAAAUAUGCUAUGUCUAACAUCUUUCUUUCCAUUUCUAAAUGUAAAAAAUGAAACUUCUCCUUUCUGAAAGCCUAAAAAUCCGUAACCGGUGAAAACUUAACACUUUUUUUCUGAAGUACAUUAAAAGAAGCAUAGUACAGAAUA